AAUGAACGCUGGCGGCGCGCCUAAUACAUGCAAGUCGAGCGAGAAGACGUAGCAAUACGUUUGUAAAGCGGCGAACGGGUGAGGAAUACAUGGGUAACCUACCCUAGAGUGGGGAAUAACUAGCCGAAAGGUUAGCUAAUACCGCGUACGCUCCUUGGACUUCGGUUCAGGGAGGAAAGCGAUGCCGAGGGUAUCGCGCUCUUGGAUGGGCUCAUGUCCUAUCAGCUUGUUGGGAGGUAACGGCUCACCAAGGCUUCGACGGGUAGCUGGUCU
rnacentral:rRNA from 1 species